rnacentral:rRNA from 1 species
GACGAACGCUGGCGGCGUGCCUAAUACAUGCAAGUAGAACGCUGAAGAGAGGAGCUUGCUCUUCUUGGAUGAGUUGCGAACGGGUGAGUAACGCGUAGGUAACCUGCCUGGUAGCGGGGGAUAACUAUUGGAAACGAUAGCUAAUACCGCAUGAUAUUAAUUAUUGCAUGAUAAUUGAUUGAAAGAUGCAAUUGCAUCACUACCAGAUGGACCUGCGUUGUAUUAGCUAGUUGGUGAGGUAACGGCUCACCAAGGCGACGAUACAUAGCCGACCUGAGAGGGUGAUCGGCCACACUGGGACUGAGACACGGCCCAGACUCCUACGGGAGGCAGCAGUAGGGAAUCUUCGGCAAUGGGGGGAACCCUGACCGAGCAACGCCGCGUGAGUGAAGAAGGUUUUCGGAUCGUAAAGCUCUGUUGUAAGAGAAGAACAGGUGUGAGAGUGGAAAGUUCACACUGUGACGGUAUCUUACCAGAAAGGGACGGCUAACUACGUGCCAGCAGCCGCGGUAAUACGUAGGUCCCGAGCGUUGUCCGGAUUUAUUGGGCGUAAAGCGAGCGCAGGCGGUUAGAUAAGUCUGAAGUUAAAGGCUGUGGCUUAACCAUAGUAUGCUUUGGAAACUGUUUAACUUGAGUGCAGAAGGGGAGAGUGGAAUUCCAUGUGUAGCGGUGAAAUGCGUAGAUAUAUGGAGGAACACCGGUGGCGAAAGCGGCUCUCUGGUCUGUAACUGACGCUGAGGCUCGAAAGCGUGGGGAGCAAACAGGAUUAGAUACCCUGGUAGUCCACGCCGUAAACGAUGAGUGCUAGGUGUUAGGCCCUUUCCGGGGCUUAGUGCCGCAGCUAACGCAUUAAGCACUCCGCCUGGGGAGUACGACCGCAAGGUUGAAACUCAAAGGAAUUGACGGGGGCCCGCACAAGCGGUGGAGCAUGUGGUCUAAUUCGAAGCAACGCGAAGAACCUUACCAGGUCUUGACAUCCCUCUGACCGCUCUAGAGAUAGAGUUUUCCUUCGGGACAGAGGUGACAGGUGGUGCAUGGUUGUCGUCAGCUCGUGUCGUGAGAUGUUGGGUUAAGUCCCGCAACGAGCGCAACCCCUAUUGUUAGUUGCCAUCAUUCAGUUGGGCACUCUAGCGAGACUGCCGGUAAUAAACCGGAGGAAGGUGGGGAUGACGUCAAAUCAUCAUGCCCCUUAUGACCUGGGCUACACACGUGCUACAAUGGCUGGUACAACGAGUCGCAAGCCGGUGACGGCAAGCUAAUCUCUGAAAGCCAGUCUCAGUUCGGAUUGUAGGCUGCAACUCGCCUACAUGAAGUCGGAAUCGCUAGUAAUCGCGGAUCAGCACGCCGCGGUGAAUACGUUCCCGGGCCU